rnacentral:misc_RNA from 1 species
UUUAACUUGCGUUUUUCGCACAUCUCAAGUGCAAAGAAAAUGGAAAGAUGUGAAAUAGUUAACUUAUAAGAUUGACACUAAAACUGUGAUGAUAGUUGUAUUUACAUAUAUACAUAUACCCAUUCAUAUACUCAUUUAAUUUCAUUCAUAUUCAAUAUCACAUUUCACUUUGAAAUUAGGAAUCAUAGCCACGGAAUAAAAUGCGCAGCAAAACGACCAGAAAAACGGGACGGAAUACAGGGUAUAUCACAGUCGUUUUUUAUGUUAGCAUCACUUCAAUUUAUUCGUUAAGGCUUGACACGACAGAUUCAAAAAAAUAAAAAACAUUGAAUUUGACUUAAAGCACUAUGGGGACAGUUGGCUCUCUCCAAUCGGCACAUCAAUCGUUAGAGGCUAGAUAAAUGCACGUUUCUGAUAGAAGGUAAUUUAAAUUGAAAAUCAAA